rnacentral:rRNA from 1 species
GAUUAGAGUUUGAUCCUGGCUCAGAUUGAACGCUGGCGGCAGGCCUAACACAUGCAAGUCGAGCGGAUGAAAGGGACUUGCUCCUGGAUUCAGCGGCGGACGGGUGAGUAAUGCGCAGGAAUCUACCUAGUAGUGGGGGAUAACGUUUCGAAAGGGGCGCUAAUACCGCAUACGUUCUGAGGAAGAAAGCAGGGGAUCGUAAGACCUUGCGCUAUUAGAUGAGCUUGCGUCCGAUUAGCUAGUUGGUGGGGUAAAGGCCUACCAAGGCGACGAUCGGUAACUGGUCUGAGAGGAUGAUCAGUCACGCUGGAACUGAGACACGGUCCAGACUCCUACGGGAGGCAGCAGUGGGGAAUAUUGGACAAUGGGGGCAACCCUGAUCCAGCCAUGCCGCGUGUGUGAAGAAGGCCCUCGGGUUGUAAAGCACUUUAAGCGGGGAGGAAGGCCUGAUGGUUAAUACCCAUUGGGAUUGACGUACC